GGGGUUCAUUGGCUACAGAAGUAGUUCUCAUUGUACCUCCUAAAAUGGUUUGGUUUUUCUGUCUUGGAUCUUUACCAUAAAGUCAGUCUUUUUUCUGUUUGAUUUCUUGAGACAGGGUCUUAACUAUGUGGGAAAGCUGAGCCUUCAACCCACUGCAGUCUUCCUGCAUCUGCCACCUGAGUCAGACUGGGGUUGCAAGGAUGUGCCUCAGACACAUGCAUUUUAGACUCUGCUCACUCAUGGCGGGGCUUGGCUCCUUCUUCAGCGUCUCGACCAUGUCAUAGUUCCCACUCCCACCUCAUAAAAGGUUUUCUUGGCUCUGCAUUCUUUCUAAGUUUCUCUUUACUUUUUGAGAAAUUUUCUUUUCAUUUUGUUUGCAUUUGUGGGAUGUAUGCCUUGAUUUUCUUUCCAUAUUUAUUUCAAAUGCUUUUGUCACUUAGCCAUAUUCUAGUUGAGAUAAACAUUUCUUUUUCUUAUUCCUUUCUAUUUAGGAGCUUGCCUGGUAUUUUCUAUUGACAUUCUUAUUCAACAGUAUUAGGUCCGCACUCUAAGGAAUUAGAGUUUGAUAUUGGGAUCCAAGUUCCACGGCUAGAAAGUGUGGUCAUGUGGUACAGAUAGGCAAACGUCAACCUUAUUAAAGGUAUUACCUCUAUCCAACUGUCCAGGACUUCACAGAAAAUCAGAGGAUGCAAGAAGAGGAUGGGUUGGUCUGACAGAGGACUCCUUACACUCCUUACUGUGAUCACAGACAAGAAAUCCAUUCUAAGUGCUCUGUAGAUUUUUUUGAUGAAUGUUUUAUGCUUGCAUUUAAACUUGAAAUGUAUGAGCGGAAUGAGACAAUCUUUGCAAUCAGAAUUGAGAAGUGUUACAAUUGAAUGGCCUUGUGCUGUAGCAAUAAAUGACCAAGUGCAAUGACCUUAAUAAAAUCAUCUUUCAAAAGUUGCUGCUAUUAAUAUUUCUA
rnacentral:lncRNA from 1 species